rnacentral:rRNA from 1 species
GUUCGAGCGGAUGAGAAGAGCUUGCUCUUGGAUUCAGCGGCGGACGGGUGAGUAAUGCCUAGGAAUCUGCCUGGUAGUGGGGGACAACGUUUCGAAAGGAACGCUAAUACCGCAUACGUCCUACGGGAGAAAGCAGGGGACCUUCGGGCCUUGCGCUAUCAGAUGAGCCUAGGUCGGAUUAGCUAGUUGGUGAGGUAAUGGCUCACCAAGGCGACGAUCCGUAACUGGUCUGAGAGGAUGAUCAGUCACACUGGAACUGAGACACGGUCCAGACUCCUACGGGAGGCAGCAGUGGGGAAUAUUGGACAAUGGGCGAAAGCCUGAUCCAGCCAUGCCGCGUGUGUGAAGAAGGUCUUCGGAUUGUAAAGCACUUUAAGUUGGGAGGAAGGGCAUUAACCUAAUACUUUAGUGUUUUGACGUUACCGACAGAAUAAGCACCGGCUAACUCUGUGCCAGCAGCCGCGGUAAUACAGAGGGUGCAAGCGUUAAUCGGAAUUACUGGGCGUAAAGCGCGCGUAGGUGGUUUGUUAAGUUGAAUGUGAAAGCCCCGGGCUCAACCUGGGAACUGCAUNNNNAAACUGNCAAGCUAGAGUANGGUAGANGGNGGNGGNAAUUUCCUGUGUAGCGGUGAAAUGCGUAGAUAUANGGAAGGGAACNNNNNNGGCNAANNGNGACCNCCUGNANUGAUNCUGA